rnacentral:rRNA from 1 species
GACGAACGCUGGCGGCGUGCCUAAUACAUGCAAGUCGAGCGGACUUUCAAGAAGCUUGCUUUUUGAAAGUUAGCGGCGGACGGGUGAGUAACACGUGGGCAACCUGCCUGUAAGACGGGGAUAACUCCGGGAAACCGGGGCUAAUACCGGAUAAUAUCUUUCUUCGCAUGAAGGAAGGUUGAAAGGCGGCGCAAGCUGCCGCUUGCAGGUGGGCCCGCGGCGCAUUAGCUAGUUGGUGAGGUAACGGCUCACCAAGGCGACGAUGCGUAGCCGACCUGGGAGGGGGAUCGGCCACACUGGGACUGGGACAUGGCCCAGACUCCUACGGGAGGCAGCAGUAGGGAAUCUUCCGCAAUGGACGAAAGUCUGACGGAGCAACGCCGCGUGAGCGAAGAAGGUCUUCGGAUCGUAAAGCUCUGUUGUCAGGGAAGAACAAGUACCGUUCGAAUAGGGCGGUACCUUGACGGUACCUGACCAGAAAGCCUCGGCUAACUACGUGCCAGCAGCCGCCGUAA